CUAGAAGGAGAGCCUCCAAUGCUUUGCUUCAACAUGUCUCCAAGUUUAGCCUCAUGACAUUACAGCUGCCUUGCUAAGACAGACAUUUCCAUAAAAUUUGGCUGCAGGUCAGAUGACACGCAGGCUGUUGUCCUGAUCAGUGACCUGCCAAGCAAGGAAGCAGCAUGCAGCACGAUUUUAUUGGUGAGCAAAGUGGCGGUCAGUUAGCAGCUGUGUGGACGUGACUGCAUUCGGCAGUGGUGUGGUCAAAGUUUGCAAUGACUGCAUGUGGCACUGACAGCUGAUUCUGCAUGGACCUCAGAGCAGAAAGUGUAAGGUAGCAUCAAAGCCUGUAAUCUUUUUCUUGAACCCAGAACAAUGAAACAUCCAAUAACCAGAACACUGCAUAACCCAGGGGAACACUGAGUACCCAAACUAGGGGCUAUGGAGUUUCUCUUACAACCCCACCUUUAUUUGUAAAUGUAGUUACAAAUAAAGGUGGGGUUGUAAGAGAAACUCGCCUCCUCCUCUUUAUUUUGAACGAGUGUUCCACGAAAGUCACAGUCAAGAAGCCGCGUUGAAUCGAAGAGCGUACAUACUGUUUGAGUAUCAUUUCACGAUCCUGAUAUGCUGUUCUACUGUAAAGUCAUGGAAAGUUCAGAAGUAAAAAGGAAAUUUCUCAAUCCAUCAAAGUCUAUUACUGUAGUAAUUCAACAAAAACUCUGAAUCACUCUGACUCACUGGAGACAAGAGAAAACAAGAACAAACCAAAUAAAUGCUGAAUUCUUAAUAAUUCAAGUGCUGUUUUAUAAAUCCAGAACACCUGGAACCUGUAAUGUUUGUUUUUUUAAUGCUGUGUGAGGACAAGUAUGUACUGUACUGUAUAUUGUGUGCCACAGCAAUCCAGGACAUGCCAGUGGUGUGAGCAGAAAGAUCAGCCGUCGCGUUCAGACUGUGAUUAAUUUUUAAAAUGUUUUUAUUUAUUUAUUUAUUUAACAAAUGCUCUGGGUUUAAUAUCUUAAUCUUAAACCCCAUACUUAGAGAUACUUAUGUAAGUCAACGCUGGUUUAGGGUUAAUGUAAGACACAGCUGCCAUCUAGUGGUAAAAUAUAUAUUUAUUGUACGUCAAUAAUGAUACACGCCCCAGGAUGCCGCUAAAAUCUCUUUUUGCGUUUGAAAUUUUGUCGUUUGUGAAUUUUCGACAGAAUUGUGCAGAAUUUGUAGAAAUGUACAAUAGUCUUUUUUUUGUUUGUUUCUAAUAAUUAAUUCAGGGGGGCACGGUGGCUUAGUGGUUAGCACGUUCGCCUCACACCUCCAGGGUUGGGGGUUCGAUUCCUGCCUCCACCUUGUGUGUGUGGAGUUUGCAUGUUCUCCCCGUGCCUCGGGGGUUUCCUCCGGGUACUCCGGUUUCCUCCCCGGUCCAAAGACAUGCAUGGUAGGUUGAUUGGCAUCUCUGGAAAAUUGUCCGUAGUGUGUGAGUGUGUGAGUGAAUGAGAGUGUGUGUGUGUGUGUGCCCUGUGAUGGGUUGGCACUCCGUCCAGGGUGUAUCCUGCCUUGAUGCCCGAUGACGCCUGAGAUAGGCACAGGCUCCCCGUGACCCGAGGUAGUUCGGAUAAGCGGUAGAAGAUGAAUGAAUAAUUAAUUCAUGUUCAUGGUUUACUUAUUCCAAUCUCUAGUUCAGGAAGCAUGUAAUUCACCCCAAAAUGAUCUCAAACUGAUUCACUGAUUUACGUAAUAAAUGAAUUUUAUACUUACUGUAAACACACAGAUGUUACGAUGCAUUAACGUUUUGUGUUUAAAGCCCAAACUUACGCAAACGAUUCUGGAAAAAUGCGUUAAGUAAUCACAAUGUAAAAAAACACAAAGUGUUUUUUUAAAAUGUAUUAUAUUUUAAUAUAUGUAUAAACGGUCUGACUAAUUUAUCUAUCUAUUUAUUUAUUUAUUUAUUUAACCAUUAACAAGCAAGAAUGCAUGUUUUUUAAUGUCAUAGCCGUGCAAUGAAAAAAAUGUGAUUAUAAUGCCAGUCAUGAGGGAGAAAAUUUUAAAUCUGAUGCUGCACAAAACCUAACAAUGCAUAAAAGCCAAGAUAUCCAAGCACAAAUAUCCAAGUUCCAAAACCAAGUUACAUUUCUCUCUCUCAGAUUUUUCUCGUUACUGUUACAGACAAUACAUUUAAGAUUAAGUUAAGUAUUUUAAAAACAUUAAAAAAAAGACAUUAUAAUCGAUUAAAAUUGCUUGAUUAAUUCAGUGUUUUUCCCCUUAGUGUGUUGGCCCUAGGGGGCACGGUGACUUAGUGGUUAGCACGUUCGCCUCACACCUCCAGGGUUGGGGGUUCGAUUCCCGCCUCCACCUUGUGUGUGUGGAGUUUGCAUGUUCUCCCCGUGCCUCUGGGGAUUCCUCCGGGUACUCCGGUUUCCUCCCCUGGUCCAAAGACAUGCAUGGUAGGUUGAUUGGCAUCUCUGGAAAAUUGUCUGUAGUGUGUGACUGCGUGAGUGAAUGAAAGUGUGUGUGUGUGUGUGCCCUGCGAUGGGUUGGCACUCCGUCCAGGGUGUAUCCUGCCUUGAUGCCCGAUGACACCUGAAAUAGGCACAGACUCCCCGUGACCCGAGGUAGUUCGGAUAAGCGGUAGAAAAUGAAUGAAUGAAUGAAAAAUAAGGCAUUUUCUGUGUAAGUUAAUGACAUCACAACUUAAAUAAGUAAUUAAAAGAUAAAAAAAAGAGCUGUUGUGUAUGCAUACACAAUAUUAUUUACAUAUAUACAUAUACAUACAUUAUUUAAAUUGAACACAUUUUAAUGGUAUACAGGGCACUGUUCAACCACAAACACAACAUAAAACACUGCUGGUUCAAUGCUUUAACCACAAACACAACAUUCUUGCAGGAGAACAAUAUCUUUGAAGAGUUUCAGUCAGGUUUCAGGCCCCAUCAUAGCACAGAAACUGCACUUGUUAAAGUUACAAAUUACUUGUUCUUAGCUUCGGACCAAGACUGUAUGUCACUAUUAGUUCUACUUGACCUUAGUGCUGUACUCGACACUAUAGAUCACAACAUUCUCCUAGAUCAUUUACAAAAUUACACAGGUAUUCAUGGACAGGCUUUAAGUUGGUUUAGAUCCUACCUGUCUGAUCGAUCCCAUUUUGUAGAAUUAAAUGGUGAAUCCUCCAGUUUAUUGCCAGUUAAUUAUGGGGUUCCUCAAGGAUCAGUUCUUGGACCCCUGCUCUUCUCGAUAUACAUGCUUCCAUUAGGGAACAUGAUUAGAAGACAUGGGAUUAAUUUCCACUGUUACACUGAUUAUGCACAGUUAUAUAUCUCAUCAAAACCAGAUGAAAUAGCUGAAUUGUCCAAAUUAACUUAGUGCCUUAGAGAGAUAAAAGAUUGGAUGAGCUGUAAUUUUCUGUUAUUAAACUCCGAUAAGACAGAAAUACUACUUAUCGGUCCACAGCCUUCAGUACACAGAAACUCUCACAAUUCAACUUCCAUUUAGAGGGAUGUACUGUUACUAGUAGCUUGACAGUGAAAGACCUGAGUGUUAUAUUAGACAGCAACCUGUCUUUUGAAAAUCAUAUCGGCCAUACCACAAAAACAGCCUUCUUUCACCUUAGAAAUAUUGCCAAGCUGAGAAACAUCCUGUCUGUAUCUGAUGCGGAAAGCUAGUUCAUGCAUUCAUGACUUCUAGACUGGACUAUUGUAAUGCAUUACUAGGUGGUUGUCCUGCAUCUUUAAUUAAUAGGCUACAAUUAGUCCAGAAUGCAGCUGCCAGAGUUCUCACUAGGACAAGAAAGUAUGAUCAUAUAACCCCAAUUUUAUCAUCUCUACACUGGCUAAUAUAAGGCUCUUAAUGGUUUAGCUCCCAUGUAUCUAACUAGUCUUCUAACACGUUACAAUCCUUCACGCUCUCUGACAUCACAAAACUCAGGACUUCUGGUAGUUCCAAGAAUAUUAAAGUCUACUAAAGGUGGUAGAGCGUUUUCAUAUUUAGCUCCCAAACUUUGGAAUAGUCUUCCUGAUAGUGUUCUGGGCUCAGACACACUUUAAAUGUUAAACGCAUUAAACCCAGUUUACUGUAAAUGUAGAUUAAAAACUCAUCUCUUUAAUCAGGCAUACACAUAUUACAUCCCAUAAUACUGGGCACUAUUAUAUCAGACUUGCAAAUAUUAUGAACAGCAGAUAUGUUAAUCCCUCUUCACUGCUUCUCUCUUUCUACCCAUCCCGAGGCAACCAGAAACUGUACCAGCUCCGAUCGUCUUCCGUGCGGUGAAGAUUUUGGACCUCCACUGAGACGAGGCCGACUCAGCGAAUCCUGAGGCAUCUAGACAUCUACCAGUUCCAGUCAGACUCUGCGAUACUAAAAAGAUGUGAACUCCAUGUGAUCUUUUGCAUCUAUACAACAUCUGUUUGACUGUAUUUUUAUAAUCACACCCUCCAGUGUCACCCAUAUGAGGAUGGGUUCCCCUUUGAGUCUGGUUCCUCUUAAGGUUUCUUCCUUUACCGUCUAAGGGAGUUUUUCCUCGCCUCUGCUGCCUGAGUCACCUCAGACUUGCUCAUUGGGGAUAAAUACAUACACAUUGUGAACUAAAUCUAUAUAAUAUUAAUCUUGAAUUUUACAUUCUAUUAAUCUUUAUAUUAUUCUUUAUAAAAACUUUUGUUCUAUGUUUAUGUUCUGUAAAGCUGCUUUGAGACAAUUUCAAUUGUUAAAAGCGUUAUACAAAUAAACCUGAAUUGAA